UCAGGGCUCAGAUUGAACGCUGGCGGCAUGCCUUACACUUGCAAGUCGAACGGCAGCACGGAGCUUGCUCUGGUGGCGAGUGGCGAACGGGUGAGUAAUAUAUCGGAACGUACCCUAGAGUGGGGGAUAACGUAGCGAAAGUUACGCUAAUACCGCAUACGAUCUAAGGAUGAAAGUGGGGGAUCGCAAGACCUCAUGCUCGUGGAGCGGCCGAUAUCUGAUUAGCUAGUUGGUAGGGUAAAAGCCUACCAAGGCAUCGAUCAGUAGCUGGUCUGAGAGGACGACCAGCCACACUAGAACUGAGACACGGUCCAGACUCCUACGGGAGGCAGCAGUGGGGAAUUUUGGACAAUGGGCGAAAGCCUGAUCCAGCAAUGCCGCGUGAGUGAAGAAGGCCUUCGGGUUGUAAAGCUCUUUUGUCAGGGAAGAAACGGUGAAAGCUAAUAUCUUUUGCUAAUGACGGUACCUGAAGAAUAAGCACCGGCUAACUACGUGCCAGCAGCCGCGGUAAUACGUAGGGUGCAAGCGUUAAUCGGAAUUACUGGGCGUAAAGCGUGCGCAGGCGGUUUUGUAAGUCUGAUGUGAAAUCCCCGGGCUCAACCUGGGAAUUGCAUUGGAGACUGCAAGGCUAGAAUCUGGCAGAGGGGGGUAGAAUUCCACGUGUAGCAGUGAAAUGCGUAGAUAUGUGGAGGAACACCGAUGGCGAAGGCAGCCCCCUGGGUCAAGAUUGACGCUCAUGCACGAAAGCGUGGGGAGCAAACAGGAUUAGAUACCCUGGUAGUCCACGCCCUAAACGAUGUCUACUAGUUGUCGGGUCUUAAUUGACUUGGUAACGCAGCUAACGCGUGAAGUAGACCGCCUGGGGAGUACGGUCGCAAGAUUAAAACUCAAAGGAAUUGACGGGGACCCGCACAAGCGGUGGAUGAUGUGGAUUAAUUCGAUGCAACGCGAAAAACCUUACCUACCCUUGACAUGGCUGGAAUCCUUGAGAGAUCAGGGAGUGCUCGAAAGAGAGCCAGUACACAGGUGCUGCAUGGCUGUCGUCAGCUCGUGUCGUGAGAUGUUGGGUUAAGUCCCGCAACGAGCGCAACCCUUGUCAUUAGUUGCUACGAAAGGGCACUCUAAUGAGACUGCCGGUGACAAACCGGAGGAAGGUGGGGAUGACGUCAAGUCCUCAUGGCCCUUAUGGGUAGGGCUUCACACGUCAUACAAUGGUACAUACAGAGCGCCGCCAACCCGCGAGGGGGAGCUAAUCGCAGAAAGUGUAUCGUAGUCCGGAUUGUAGUCUGCAACUCGACUGCAUGAAGUUGGAAUCGCUAGUAAUCGCGGAUCAGCAUGUCGCGGUGAAUACGUUAAAGGGUCUUGUACUCACCGCCCGUCA
rnacentral:rRNA from 1 species